rnacentral:rRNA from 1 species
AGUGAACGCUGGCGGUAGGCCUAACACAUGCAAGUCGAACGGCAGCACAGUAAGAGCUUGCUCUUACGGGUGGCGAGUGGCGGACGGGUGAGGAAUACAUCGGAAUCUACUUUUUCGUGGGGGAUAACGUAGGGAAACUUACGCUAAUACCGCAUACGACCUACGGGUGAAAGCAGGGGAUCUUCGGACCUUGCGCGAUUGAAUGAGCCGAUGUCGGAUUAGCUAGUUGGCGGGGUAAAGGCCCACCAAGGCGACGAUCCGUAGCUGGUCUGAGAGGAUGAUCAGCCACACUGGAACUGAGACACGUUCCAGACUCCUAGGGUAUGCAUCAGUGGGUAAUAUUCGACAAUGGGCGCAAGCCUGAUCCAGCCAUACCGCGUGUGUUAAGAAGGCCUUCGGGUUGUAAAGCCCUUUUGUUGGGAAAGAAAAGCAGCAGGUUAAUACCCCGCUGUUCUGACGGUACCCAAAGAAUAAGCACCGGCUAACUUCGUG